GCGCUAAUACCGCAUACGAUCUAUGGAUGAAAGCGGGGGACCGUAAGGCCCUCGCGCGAUUGGAGCGGCCGAUGUCAGAUUAGGUAGUGGGUGGGGUAGAGGCUCACCAAGCCAACGAUCUGUAGCUGGUCUGAGAGGACGACCAGCCACACUGGGACUGAGACACGGCCCAGACUCCUACGGGAGGCAGCAGUGGGGAAUUUUGGACAAUGGGCGCAAGCCUGAUCCAGCAAUGCCGCGUGCAGGAAGAAGGCCUUCGGGUUGUAAACUGCUUUUGUACGGAACGAAAAGGCUCUGGUUAAUACCUGGGGCAUAUGACGGUACCGUAAGAAUAAGCACCGGCUAACUACGUGCCAGCAGCCGCGGUAAUACGUAGGGUGCAAGCGUUAAUCGGAAUUACUGGGCGUAAAGCGUGCGCAGGCGGUUUUGUAAGACAGGCGUGAAAUCCCCGGGCUCAACCUGGGAAUUGCGCUUGUGACUGCAAGGCUGGAGUGCGGCAGAGGGGGAUGGAAUUCCGCGUGUAGCAGUGAAAUGCGUAGAUAUGCGGAGGAACACCGAUGGCGAAGGCAAUCCCCUGGGCCUGCACUGACGCUCAUGCACGAAAGCGUGGGGAGCAAACAGGAUUAGAUAC
rnacentral:rRNA from 1 species